CCCUGAAAUUUUCUUUAUUGCGUAGAUUGAUCUAUGCAGAGGCGAGCCAAAAAGGAAUUCAAAAGUUAACGGUUCAUAGAAAAUACAAUAAGUAAAAGAAUAGAUGCACCUACAGUGUAAUAUUUAAACAUGAUUUGUUUUCGUCUUAAUUUUAAUGCUAUUAAAAUUUAAAAAAUUUCAUGGAAAUCGGUCAACAAAAACCAGAAUAAUAAAAAAAAUAAGUUUGGCGGCUUUUCAUAUAGCAACGCUUAUAAGGGAAUAUUCAGCAGUAUCAAAAGCCACAAAAUAAUUUAAGCCUCAAACACGAAUCCUGAAGUGUAAAAACCAUUUAACAAUAAAAAUAUUUAUCAUGACA